CUUUUCUCAGGCCCAUAACAGCAUCUCCGCCUCGGUGGCUGCUCUCGGUCUCGGUGCUCCCAGCCUCCCAGGGCGGCGGCCUCGUCGUCGUCGAGCAGCACCGAAGAAGUGAGGCCACCUCGCCUGGGAACCCUAACCUCCCAUUCCCCAAUCAACGCCCUUCCCCAUCUCACCCGCCUCCCGCGGUCUCGACGGGAAGCAGUGGAGUGGCGACCCGCCGCAGCCGGCAUACCGCGGAAGCAAGGAGUCAGAGCGGCAGCGGCGGCGCCGGCGCCGGCGAGCAGAGCAAAGAACCGAGCAGGGCAGCAGAGAUUGGUUGCAGACUUACGAAAUGACGAAGAAACAGAAGACAAUGGGUUUGAAGUCUUUGUGGGGAAGGUCUGGAACGGCGCAGAAGACUGCUUCAACCUCGGUGCCGAAACCUCGGUCGAUUUUGCUUCAGAGCUUGAGGAUCAUUUUGCGCCAAAGGGUUGGCUUUCCGGAGACAUGAGAAAAUCAAAGACUCCCUGAACCAAGGGAAUUUUCAUUGGCUCUUGAAAUGGCUGGCAGGUAAUUUGGAUGGAACGAACAAGGCGGUUCUGCAGAAUGUUCUGAACGAUCCUGCGAUGACUUGUCCGAAAAUGAUCAAAGGUCUUGUUAAUGUUUGUGCCAGAGAAACUACUAGACUUAUCAAGCAAGACCUUGGGGAGGAAAAUUUUGCAAUACUAGCUUGUUUGUUUACUGAUGCUAGCCAUAAUGAACAGUUGGUUGUUUGCUUGCGGUAUGUCGACAAGAAAGGAAGAGUAGUUGAGAGGUUUCUUGGGGUUGUACGUGUUGAGAACCGGAAGCCCUCAACAAUUAAAGCUGCAAUUGAAUCCUUGCUCAGGGAUCACUCUUUGAGCUGGUCUAGGGUCCGAGGACAGGGGUAUGAUGGAGCAGGCAAUAUGAGAGCCCACGUGAAGGGUCUAAAGAAAAUAAUCAUGGAUGAGUCUUCUUCCGCUCACUAUGUCCAUUGCUUUGCGUAGGAACUGCACUUGGCACUUGUUCCUGCUCUUAAGGAGAAUGGUGCUUGUGCUGAUUUCUUUCAGCAACUUGGUUUUUUGGUGAGCUUUCUUGAAAUGUCCUGCAGAAAAGCUCAAAUGCUUCAAAUACCUGAAGCUCAAAAGGUUCUAGAAGGUUUGAAUCAAGCGAAGUUCUCUAGUAAAAGGGAUGAUCCCAGCCAGGGAUUUCAUACUGUAUCCCACCAUUUGAAGCGUUCUCAUCAUGAUUGGAGGAGACCAUACUCACGGUGCAGAGGCUGUCAAUGCUCUAAAAAUAUUGAUAUAUUUUGAGUCAUUUGAGUUUGUUUUCAUGACACACAUGUUGAUGGACGUAUUGGGAUGCACAUCUAUCUUAAAUAGAUGUUUACAAAUGAGAGACAGUUUUAUGGUCAAUGGCAUUGAAAUCAUUGAUAUUACAAAGUGUCGGUUAGACAAAAUGCUGGGGGAUGAUAAAUGGGAAAAAAAUCUUAAAGAUGUCACUACUUUUUGUGCGAAGCAUGACAUCAAAGUCCCUAGCAUGGAUGAUAUUUAUAAGCCAGUUUUAAACCAAAGGGGUUCUUGAGAAAAGUCAUGAAUCUCCAUCAUUACUGUGUUGAAAUUUUUGCAAGCAUCCUUGACAGAGCAGUAGAGCACUUCAAGAGUUAAAUGACAGGUUUGAUGAGAUGAACACAGAUUUUCUUCUUAACAUGGCAUCACUCGAUCCAGCUAGUUCAUUUUACCCAUAUAACAAGGACAAGUUACUUAAACUUGCUAGGUGUUAUCCCAAGGACUUCUCAAGCACAGAUUUGUUGCAUCUUCCAAACCAUCUUACACGGUUUAUUGCUGAUAUGUAUGAGAAUGAAAGGUUUAGAAAAGUGAAAAGUAGUUGAGCUUUUUGUUAUGCUUGUUAAAACCAAGAGCAGCCUCAAAUAUCCUAUUGUUUACAAGCUUCUUAAAUUGGUGCUGGUUCUUCCCAUAGCAACUGCUAGCAUUGAAAGGGUAUUUUCUGCUACGGAUCUUGUUGAGAAUAAGCUGACAAAUAGAGUGGGUGAACAAUUAUUGAAUGAUUGCCUGGUUAUGUUCAUUGAGAGGGAGGUUUUCAUGCAAGUUAAGGAUGAGGCCUUGGCAUCUUGUUUCCAAGCCAUAGUAGGAGCAUAAAAUCACAAGGAGCGUUGGAUAGAGCUGGAGCUAAUGAUGAGUAAUUCAUUAUGGACUGGGCUGCAAGAUGGAGCUGUUAUGGGUUUUAGUAUGGUUGAAGGAAAUCCGUAACAAAGCAAGUGACAUGACUUGCUGACUAUUAUUGAUGUCUUGAUGAGAGGAGCCCUUGCCAUAUUAUGUAUGAAGUGUUGCUUUGCUGCAUGAACUACUAUGGGGCUCCUUGCCGAGGAGCAGAGCAAGCUUGACUUGACCAUUGCUCUUUACUCCAGAUAACGUACUUGUCAAGGUAUCUUCAGACUUGUAUUAAACGCAGGUUGGACUGCAACAGUCAUGGCCAGAUGAUGGGAACGCCUACAAUGUCUCAUGACGGUCUCAUGAAAACUUACUGAUGCAACAUUGUUUUCUGAUGCUGAGCGCCAAUAGUGUCUGUUUGGAAGAUUUGUCCACCGAUACCAUAAUGCAGAAAUGAUGUUACUUUUGGACGGUGGUCCUUUAAUCAUUUACAUUGUCAAGUCAGUAUCUUUUCUGAACAUCAAUAGUAGCUUUUGGAUCGCUGUGCUGGUUUGGCAGGCAAAAUUAUCAACAUCCUCUUGCUUUUGGUGAGGGUCUGAGUCUGAGAAGCACAUUGACCUGUCAUUGGCAAGCACAUUCAGUGCCCCCCCUUGUUAGGGUGAAUGAUCCAGAAUCGGCAAGUUGGGCGGAGGCUGUGCUGUUGUUGAGGAAGAAGAUGAGGAAGGACUGAAGAUAAGAUAAAAAGCGCGACUACUAGUUGCUUAACGGUGUGUGUAGCCAUCUACUCGUCUUCAGAUUUGAGUGGCAGGUGUAGCCCAGCCCAAGAUCUGCUUGGGUUUCAGAGUUUCAGCAGGCUGUCAUUCAGAUGGAUGCUUUGUUCAUUUCGCUCUAUGUACGCUAGCUCAAGUUUUGGUAUCUCUGGAGCUGUUCCUUGGAAGUUGGAAUGUAUUUGCACUAUGCUGUAUAAUUUUUUUUUUAGUACAGUUCAAGUCUAGCAUGCUAUAUAUAUUUUGUUAAAAGUGGUGAUAAAUUAAAUAUUGGCAGGUUGACUUCAGGUUCAGACACCAGUGAUGCAUCCAUGUCUGCCACUUCGAUACCAUCUUAACAAAAGCAUUACACAAAUUACUGCUCCCAUCAUCUUGUUGCCUGCUAUUUUUUCACGGCCUCAUGAUUGGUGCCCAUUUGCAUUACCUAUCUCAGCUCCUAUUUUUGAACUACCAAGUGAACGUCCUGACCAAUGAUUGAUGCUCUGUUCAGUUUACCGUGCUGUAUAAAAACAAAAUUACUGGUCCAUUCAUGCAGUGUUCAUGCACUUUUCUGAUCGGAUGUGGAGACCAGAAUAAUACAUAUGUUAUUCGAGGAGCACCGCUGCACCGCACUUUGCUGCCACCGUUUUGCCAAGUUGCCGCGGCGGCGAGUGCUGCCGGAGCACGCAUCGUUUUCCAACAGGGGAAGUUCGGUGAGCCGGGGCUUGGUGUGAUCCUCAUGGACAUGGACGGCCUGCUCUUCACAAUCGUCCAUUGCCUCCUCUCUCUCUCCUUUUUCCUCUCUUCCAACUUUUCGGAUUGGACGCCACAGGCGAGAUUGUACCUCUCAUAAAACUGACGUCGCCUUCGGCAUCGCCUUUCCUUCUUUUUUCUUUCCCCACUUUGCGCGCGCGCGGGUGCGACAACUAACAGCAAUUGAGAAAUGCUUAUCUUUCUAGGGUUCUUGAGAAAAAGGUAGGAGGAGAGUUUUGUCUUGCUCUCCCAACUAGCCCCCAUGCAACAUCCACAGGAGACCUUUACAUGGAAUUAACAAAUCUUGAGAGGGGUUUCA